AUUACCUCAGUAACGGCGAGUGAAGCGGUAACAGCUCAAAUUUGAAAUCUGGCCUCACGGUCCGAGUUGUAAUUUGUAGAGGAUGCUUCGAGCAUGGUCUGGCCUAAGUUCCUUGGAACAGGACGUCAUAGAGGGUGAGAAUCCCGUAUGCGGCCAGGUGCCUACGCUCAUGUGAAGCUCCUUCGACGAGUCGAGUUGUUUGGGAAUGCAGCUCAAAAUGGGUGGUAAAUUUCAUCUAAAGCUAAAUAUUGGCCAGAGACCGAUAGCGCACAAGUAGAGUGAUCGAAAGAUGAAAAGCACUUUGGAAAGAGAGUUAAACAGUACGUGAAAUUGUUGAAAGGGAAGCGCUUGCAACCAGACUUGCGCGCGGCCGAUCAUCCGGUGUUCUCACCGGUGCACUCGGCCGUGCUCAGGCCAGCAUCGGUUUUGGCGGCUGGAUAAAGGCCCUAGGAAUGUAGCUCCUCUCGGGGAGUGUUAUAGCCUAGGGUGCAAUGCAGCCUGCCGGGACCGAGGACCGCGCUUCGGCUAGGAUGCUGGCGUAAUGGUUGUAAGCGGCCCGUCUUGAAACACGGACCAAGGAGUCUAACAUCUAUGCGAGUGUUUGGGUGUCAAACCCAUACGCGUAAUGAAAGUGAACGGAGGUGAGAACCCUUAAGGGUGCAUCAUCGACCGAUCCUGAUGUCUUCGGAAGGAUUUGAGUAAGAGCAUAGCUGUUGGGACCCGAAAGAUGGUGAACUAUGCCUGAAUAGGGUGAAGCCAGAGGAAACUCUGGUGGAGGCUCGCAGCGGUUCUGACGUGCAAAUCGAUCGUCAAAUUUGGGUAUAGGGGCGAAAGACUAAU
rnacentral:rRNA from 1 species